GAUGAAGAACGUAGCGAAAUGCGAUAAGUAAUGUGAAUUGCAGAGUUUAGUGAAUCAUCGAAUCUUUGAACGCACAUUGCGCCCCUCGGUAUUCCGACGGGCAUGCCUGUUCGAGCGUCGUUUGCAUACCCUCAAGCGGAAUUCGUGUCGGCUUGGUCUUGGGCCGUCGUCCCCCUCGUUGCAAGGGGGACGGGCCCCGAAGCAAGCGGCGGCCUCGGAUGGCACCGCCGGAGCGUCUUCGUGACAACCCCGUUCCGGCGCGCACAUCCCAGGGUCGCCCUACAAAAAAGAGAACAUCACAAAAGUUCCGACCUCGGAUCAGGCAGGGAUACCCGCUGAACUUAAGCAUUUCAAUAAGCGGAGGA
rnacentral:misc_RNA from 1 species